CCUACGGGGGGCAGCAGUGGGGAAUAUUGCGCAAUGGGCGAAAGCCUGACGCAGCGACGCCGCGUGAGGGAUGAAGGUCUUCGGAUCGUAAACCUCUGUCAGCAGGGAAGAACGGUCACUGUGCUAAUCAGCAGUGAAUUGACGGUACCCAAAGAGGAAGCUCCGGCUAACUACGUGCCAGCAGCCGCGGUAAUACGUAGGGAGCGAGCGUUGUCCGGAAUUACUGGGUGUAAAGGGAGCGUAGGCGGGCGAGAAAGUUGAAUGUUAAAUCUACCGGCUUAACUGGUAGCUGCGUUCAAAACUUCUUGUCUUGAGUGAAGUAGAGGCAGGCGGAAUUCCUAGUGUAGCGGUGAAAUGCGUAGAUAUUAGGAGGAACACCAGUGGCGAAGGCGGCCUGCUGGGCUUUAACUGACGCUGAGGCUCGAAAGCGUGGGGAGCAAACAGGAUUAGAUACCCUAGUAGUC
rnacentral:rRNA from 1 species